rnacentral:lncRNA from 1 species
UGUUCUUCCUUGUUCUUCAUGGACUUGUGAAGUGAAUCCUCUGGGUUCCCCUACUUCGUGCUCUACGGCUUCCGUUCGGCUGCGCCGUAUUGUGCCGAUUAUUUCCGGAUUAUGGUUCUGCGGUCGUUCGGAGAUCGAGUCGAAGUCUUCAUGGUUUCGGUGCCUCUCUCCGCGUCGCUUGGUCGCUUCCAACCUUUGUCAGGUAUAAAGCUAGUUACCCGCUGUUCGCAGCAAGUUAGCCUUGUUCUUUUGAUCUACUGUCAUGAAGAUCGGGCCACCCUCUUACCGAUUCAAAUUGGUAGCCUAUCAACUGGUAUCAAAGCUUUCGUUGUCACGGUAGGUCUCACAAUCAUCCACAUAUCUGCCUUUAGUUUAUGUAUCGUUUGCUACUGUUUUGUUCAUCACCUAUAGUCCACUAAAAAAGCCACAGAAAAAAAUCUAUUGCCCUUUGACGGUACUGUUAUCUUGUGUUUUGUGUUCAUCAAGUUGCUAGUCACCAUCUUUACAUAUUUUGUAUCGUGUUUCAUUUGUAUCCUCACCCCUGUUAGUAUAAAAAAAGAGUUAAAAGAAUCAUAGAAAAAAAAGUUUAGGAAAAAAAUAGGGAUAGAAAGCUUUUCCAAAAGAAAAGUAAAAGAAGAGGAAAAGGGUUAUAUUGCAGUUUGCACACUGAAAAUUUAGUUUACACAUUCAGAUUCUUGGUGAUUUAUAUACCAGCAACAUUACAUCUUGUGAGCACAUCAAAUCACUUGUUUUUCAGUACCGUAGCCUCCCUUGUUUAGCCACAUAUAGCUCCACCC